GGAUCACAUCGCCUGUAUAGAAGAGGCCGAACAUGUGUUCCCGAGAUCCAUCAGACCGGCCCAUAAACACAUUUUCGGACGGCCUAAAUAACCCAACACGACCUUCUUCUCCUGCAGCCUCGCCGCCUCCUCCUGCAGCCCUGCCGCCGGCAUCCUCCCAUGACCCGUCGUCGGCCUCCUCCCACGGCCCGCCACCGGCUUCAUCCAGCGGAUCCACCGAUCGCCUCCUACCACGCCCCGCCGCCGGCCUCCUCCCAUGGACCCAUCGCUGGCCUCCUCCAGCGGCCCGCCGCCGGCUUCCUUCGGUGGAUCCGCCGCCGGCCUCCUCCCGCGGCCCACCGCCGGCCUCCUACCGCAGCCCCGCCACCAUCCUCAUCCCGCCCAAGCUAGCCAUGCGUGCCGCCCCCUUUGCAUCUUGCUUGCCACCGCGAACCAGCUCCGCCCGGCGAACUGCCCAAACACCGCGCCGUGCGCCACCAUCCACACUGCUAGUCGCUGCCCCCGCAAUCCAUCUUACUCGCCGUCUCUGCUAACCACCCCGAGAAGCCGACGCCAACGUCCUAGCAAACAAUUUCACAAGCUGCAAACCCCCUGCUAGGAACAAGAAAAGAGAGCUUCACAGGCAUGGCUCCCGUUGCUGGCACUGUUGGUGUGUGUCCCAUUUGUGCCACUGACGAUGUAUUAGUGUUGUUGGCUCGUGGUCAGAUCUAGUUUCAGCCGUUUUUGCCUUUGCCGUCCACAUGCACUUUUGGAUCCAUCAGGUUUGUGAUGUGCUAAUGAUUACUACUCCCUCCGUUCCAAAUUACUCGUCGCUGAAAUAGAUGUAUCUAGAACUAAAAUACAUCUAAAUACAUCUAUACGUGCGACAAGUAAUUCAGAACGGAGGGAGUACAUGUUUGUUAAGAUGCUCCUAUCAGGAUAUAGAGACAUGUAUGUUGUUGUUGCAGAGACCUGCAAGCAUGACGCAAGAGAAACCGAAUGAGAGAGAGCGAGAGGUGGAAGACAGAGUUUUGCGCUGCUGUAACAACUUGCAGCUUUUCUAUUUCAAUCUUAUUUAUCUGAACCUGCUAGGAGCUCCUGAAAAUCAGCAAAGAAAUGGCCGUGCUCGCCGAGCUUACAGGUCGUGCCAUCCCACGACGCUUGAACGUGCAUGAUCCCUACUUGCCCGCGGCGAGGAAUGCGUGACCCAUGCCAUCCCACGGCGAUCCCUAAGGCGAGCUGAAGACUAGCUAACUACCUAACUGAAUGCUAACUGAAACUGAACUCGUACGUGUACAUGCACACGCUGACGGUCAGUGUUAUUCAGAAAACUGUAAACUGAACGAACCGAAACUUGAGUGUGUGUGUGUGUGUGUGUGUGUGUGUGUGCAAAUUAUCCAACAAAUGUGUGUAUUUCUCCACGCAAUACAAAAUUGGUACUAUUUUUUA